rnacentral:rRNA from 1 species
AAAUUGAAGAGUUUGAUCAUGGCUCAGAUUGAACGCUGGCGGCAGGCCUAACACAUGCAAGUCGAACGGUAACAGGAAGCAGCUUGCUGCUUUGCUGACGAGUGGCGGACGGGUGAGUAAUGUCUGGGAAACUGCCUGAUGGAGGGGGAUAACUACUGGAAACGGUAGCUAAUACCGCAUAACGUCGCAAGACCAAAGAGGGGGACCUUCGGGCCUCUUGCCAUCGGAUGUGCCCAGAUGGGAUUAGCUAGUAGGUGGGGUAAAGGCUCACCUAGGCGACGAUCCCUAGC